ensembl:lncRNA FAM138C family with sequence similarity 138 member C
CAGCUCCCACACAACGGGGUUUCGGGGCUGUGGACCCUGUGCCAGGAAAGGAAGGGCGCAGCUCCUGCAAUGCGGAGCAGCCAGGGCAGUGGGCACCAGGCUUUAGCCUCCCUUUCUCACCCUACAGAGGGCAGGCCCUUCAGCUCCAUUCUCCUCCAAGGCUGCAGAGGGGGCAGGAAUUGGGGGUGACAGGAGAGCUGUAAGGUCUCCAGUGGGUCAUUCUGGGCCCAGAGAUGGGUGCUGAAGCUCCCACGCCUGCCUGUGAAAAUGGAGUCCUCUUUCACCUGGGAGAGCCAGGUGCUGCCCCGAGAAGGAUGCAUUUAUGGCUUCGUGAAGUCUUUCCUGACCCCCGAUGCUGCUGACUAUAGAGACAAAGUCUCACUAUGUUGCUCAGGCUGGUCUUGAACUCCUGGCCUCAAGCGAUCCUCCCACCUCAGCCUCCCAAAGUGUUGGGAUUAUAGACAUGAGCCACUGCACCUGGCCGACCUUGGGCAAGUUCUUAAACCCUUCAAAGCCUCAUUUUUCUCCAAUCACAAAAGGGAAAGAUGGUAAUAUUUUCCCCACCAAAUUCUUGUAAGUAUUAAACAUUGUAUAUGUAUUUUGAACACGAUUAAGCUCUAAACACUUGUUAGGAAGCAGGACUGGCAUUUGAAACAAACAGCUCUUUU